rnacentral:tRNA from 1 species
GUGCCGUUGGUGUAAGGCGAACAUCGCUGCCCGGAAAGCAGAAGAUGCGGGUUCGAGUCUCGCCUGGCGCA